GCAACAGCAGUAGCGCACAACAAGAGCAGGAGGGAGAGGGAAAGAAAGACAGCCGGGAACAAGAGACAACACCGUCACAUUGGAAAGAUCGUGUACUUCUUUCUUACGUCUCACCAUGAAACUUCUUGGAGCUCUGAUCCUGGUUUUGAGUUUGUCUGCAGCAUGUGGAUUAAGAUGCUA